GCCGCAGCUCACCGCAUGCAUGGAGUCUUAGCUUUAUUCUUCUCUCUGCACAUAUCUUUUAGUUCACGAGUGUACAAUUACGGGUAACGCGACAGUUUCCCGAAAAAUGGCGGAGAAAAGCUUCCCAGCUAUCCAAGUUCUUGCAGAAUAUUAUUAGUUGGAGGCCACUUUCCUGUGAAGUAAGAUUACCAAAGUCUGAGGUUACUGUGUCCUUGAAUGCGUCCCAGAAAGCAAAAGUUGAAUCACAUCCUAAUAUCAAAUAUCAGAGUAAGAUGUGUUACUAGCAGUGUGAUGACAGAUUAAUGCAUCAAACUAAUAAUAGGAAACAGGAUGUUUUGCCUAUGCUUGCCUCUGCAAGUAAGGUUAUUGUGAUUUACGGUCAAGAAUGAUGAACUUUUCCCCAAAAAUUGAGGAUUGGUCCUUAAAGAAGACAACUACAGUAAAAUGAAAAAUAAAAAUCAUAUAAAUGGAAGAUGCAAGAGUCACGAGAAAUCAAGGAUCACAAAGAAAGUAGAAAGAAGAAUUAUAAUCGGAUCUUGCCCAAAAUGUUGGAUUCCUCAUCAUGUUAUGAAUGUUUCUCUGGUGUUGUGUUAAUUUUUCUGUAAUACAUAAUAUUAAAUUAUAUUGGGUGAGUGCAAAAGUUCGU